rnacentral:lncRNA from 1 species
GUCCGAGGUGCUGUUACAUUGGAGCUGUGAUGAAUGAGAAGGAAGAGGAGGAUGAUGAAGAGGAUGAUGACCACUGAGGACCCAAUCAGAACGUGCAGGUAUCUGGGGUUACCUGGAGGAAGAUGGGAACCCAGUAAGAAGCUGACCAUGGCAGUUCCUCUUCAGGGAUCAUCUCUCAUCUCUUCACUGCCAGGAAGCCGUGUUCCUCUCUUGACCGAACACCCACUGGGCCUCAUGCAAGGUGGAAAGAGCCUGCGUACGUCACCGUCCCAUGAUGUGGUCAGCAUGUAAACUGCACAGGCAGGGCCUCUCACAACAUCCUGUGCGCUGCUGAAGGGAGCUGGGGCGCGGCCGCUGGUCUGCACAGGCAGCACCAUGUCACUUAUGGUCGUCAGCAUGGCGUGUGUCGGUGAGUCCUGGAGGGAAUCGAGCGGGGGAGCGAUGGGGUGG